rnacentral:rRNA from 1 species
UACGUAGGGUGCAAGCGUUGUCCGGAAUUAUUGGGCGUAAAGAGCUCGUAGGCGGUCUGUCGCGUCUGCUGUGAAAACUCGGGGCUUAACCCCCGGGCCUGCAGUGGGUACGGGGCAGACUAGAGUGCGGUAGGGGGAGACUGGAAUUCCUGGUGUAGCGGUGAAAUGCGCAGAUAUCAGGAGGAACACCGGUGGCGAAGGCGGGUUGCUGGGCUGAUACUGACGUGAGGCGCGAAAAGCCAGGGGGAGCGAACGGGG